rnacentral:sRNA from 1 species
AAAUAAUAUUAUUGGUAAAUUGUACUUAUGUGUUAUAUAAUAGAAUUCACAAAUAUCAAUUUAAUAUAUAUAUAUAUAUAUAUACAUUUUUGCAGUCAUUUUGUGAAAUAAAUCAUGAAGUUGGAAUUUAUUUAUAAUGGUUGCCAUUGGCUUUUAAUUAUUGUUUUUUUUUUGGCAAUAAAUUGAUUAACAAACGAAAAACAUUCCAAAUAUAUUUCAAUCCCAUAUAUCAUGCAGAUUUCUCCAAAAUUUGAACUAGAUUUUGACAACUAUUUAAAACAAAAAAUGUUUGACAAACCAAAAUACAAUUGCAAUUCCUUAAAAUGAGCAAAACGCACCUAAAUACAUUUUUUACAAUUCACUAAAUCUUAUUUCUCCAAAAUUUGAACUAGAUUUCGGCAACUAUUUUAAAAAAAAUUUGUUUGACAAACUAAAAUACAAUUGCAAUCCCGUAAAAUAUUUAUUUAAAUUAUAUAUUUAAAUUAGCGGUGUAAUGCAGGUUUUUUUACGGGACGGGUUUGGCAAGACGAAUUUGGAAUGACUUUACUUAAUAACAAUUGUAAACUAUAAAAUAAAAAUAUUUUAUAGAUAGAUAUAAUUUGUAAACUUUUAUAUAUAUUAAUUUUAAAAAAUAAAUUGUAUCCGCGGUAUACCGCGGGUUAAAAUCUAGUAUAUUACAAAACUAUAGUAAUGUUUUUAAAGAAAUGAGAAAAUAAAGUGAAAAGAAAAAGAGAAAAAAAGGGACAGACAUUCUAAAGACGAUAAAAUUAUGCUUUAGAAAAACAUGAACUUACAGACAAAAUAAUUAAAAAAAUAUUAUUUGGGCUGUGAGAAAAAAUAGAAAAGCUAAAACAUGAUUGUUUCAAUUUUAGGGCUUUAACUUUUUUAGGUGGUUUAAAAAUUUCUUACAGCCCAACCAAUCAUGGCCUAUGUAAUAUCAUUUGUAAACAGUAAACUUAUAACAGUAGUUCGCAAUUUGCAAAUAGACGCCUUCUAAGUUAUACUUU